UACGUAGGGGGCGAGCGUUGUCCGAAGUUACUGGGCGUAAAGCGCGCGUAGGCGGGGCAUUAAGUGAGAAGUGAAAGGCUGGGGCUUAACCCCAGCAGUGCUUCUCAUACUGGUGCUCUUGAGGGCGGUAGAGAGAAGUGGAAUGGCUGGUGUAGCGGUGAAAUGCGUAGAUACCAGUCGGAACACCGGUGGCGAAGGCGGCUUCUUGGGCCGUUCCUGACGCUGAGGCGCGAAAGCCAGGGGAGCGAACGGG
rnacentral:rRNA from 1 species